GCUGGGGGAGGUGUAUGUGGAUCGGGAGACCAUGGGCCAUCCCUUGGUUGUGCUGCUGUGGACUUGGACUGCUGGGGGUUUCCCAUGGUGCACUGAGUGUUUCUUUCUCUUUUUGCUCUGUGUGCGCCGCUCUGCGUUUGGUCGUUGGUGGUUGAUCUCUGCGAACCUCCGCGGCAUGUCUUUUUCCUGGUUCUCUCCCUCGGCCCCAGCCGGUCCCGGCGGGGGACUGCCCCUCCCUGGGCCUGGUUCUGCUGGAGGUUUCUUCCUGUUGGGGGGGAGGUUUUCCU